rnacentral:rRNA from 1 species
AUUGAACGCUGGCGGCAGGCCUAACACAUGCAAGUCGAACGAGUGGCGGACGGGUGAGUAAUGUCUGGGAACCUGCCUGAUGGAGGGGGAUAACUACUGGAAACGGUAGCUAAUACCGCAUACCAUCAGAUGUGCCCAGAUGGGAUUUGCUAGUUGGUGGGGUAACGGCUCACCAAGGCGACGAUCCCUAGCUGGUCUGAGAGGAUGACCAUCCACAAUGGAAGUGAGACACGGUCCAGAAGCCUACGGGAGGCAGGAGUGGGGAAUAGUGCGAAAUGGGCGCAAGCCUGAUGCAGCGAUGCCGGGUGUAUGAAGAAGGCCUUCGGGUUGUAAAGGACUUUCUGCGGGGCGGCGGUGCCCGCAGAAGAAGCACCGGCUAACUCCGUGCCAGCAGCCGCGGUAAUAC